rnacentral:rRNA from 1 species
UAGGGAAUCUUCCACAAUGGACGAAAGUCUGAUGGAGCAACGCCGCGUGGGUGAAGAAGGGUUUCGGCUCGUAAAACUCUGUUGUUAAAGAAGAACAUAUCUGAGAGUAACUGUUCAGGUAUUGACGGUAUUUAACCAGAAAGCCACGGCUAACUACGUGCCAC